CCGCGUGAGGGAUGAAGGCCUUUGGGCUGUAAACCUCUUUUCUCAAGGAAGAAGUCCUGACGGUACCUGAGGAAUAAGCCCCGGCUAAUUCCGUGCCAGCAGCCGCGGUAAUACGGGAGUGGCAAGCGUUAUCCGGAAUUAUUGGGCGUAAAGCGUCCGCAGGCGGCCGUUUAAGUCUGUUGUUAAAUCGUGGAGCUCAACUCCAUCACGGCAAUGGAAACUGUUCGGCUUGAGUAUGGUAGGGGCAGAGGGAAUUUCCGGUGUAGCGGUGAAAUGCGUAGAUAUCGGGAAGAACACCAGUGGCAAAAGCGCUUUGCUGGGCCAUUACUGACGCUCAUGGGCGAAAGCCAGGGGAGCGAAAGGGAUUAGAUACCCUGGUAGUC
rnacentral:rRNA from 1 species